GGGUUAGUAGGUUGGUCAUGCCUCUGGUAUGUACUGGCCUCACUGAUUCCUCCUUCCUGAUGAACCGUAAUGCCAUUAAUUUGGUGUUGCGGGGAAUUUGGACUGUUACUUUGAAAAAAUUAGAGUGUUUAAAGCAGGCUUACGCUUGAAUACAUUAGCAUGGAAUAAUGAAAUAGGACGUUCGAUCCUAUUUUGUUGGUUUCUAGGAUUGACGUA
rnacentral:rRNA from 1 species